rnacentral:tRNA from 1 species
CACCGCCUUGCCGGGGGUGUAGACGUCCUGCGAUCCGGUCGCGGUGGCCGGGCGGCCCUUGGCCAGGUUGCGGUUCGGGUCCUGGGGCGGAUU